GGAAAUCUGCGCGCUUAACGCGCAGGCGUCCGGUGGAAACUGCAUGGCUUGGGACCGGAAGACCAGAGGGGUACGUCCGGGGUAGGAGUGAAAUCCCGUAAUCCUGGACGGACCACCGGUGGCGAAAGCGCCUCUGGAAGACGGAUCCGACGGUGAGGGACGAAAGCUCGGGUCACGAACCGGAUUAGAUACCCGGGUAGUCCGAGCUGUAAACGAUGUCUGCUAGGUGUGGCACAGGCUACGAGCCUGUGCUGUGCCGUAGGGAAGCCGUGAAGCAGACCGCCUGGGAAGUACGUCCGCAAGGGUGAAACUUAAAGGAAUUGGCGGGGGAGCACUACAACCGGAGGAGCCUGCGGUUUAAUUGGACUCAACGCCGGACAUCUCACCAGCAUCGACAACGUGCAGUGAAGGUCAGGUUGAUGACCUUACUGGAGCCGUUGAGAGGAGGUGCAUGGCCGCCGUCAGCUCGUACCGUGAGGCGUCCUGUUAAGUCAGGCAACGAGCGAGACCCGCACUCCUAAUUGCCAGCAACACCCUUGCGGUGGUUGGGUACAUUAGGAGGACUGCCAGUGCCAAACUGGAGGAAGGAACGGGCAACGGUAGGUCAGUAUGCCCCGAAUGUGCUGGGCGACACGCGGGCUACAAUGGCCGAGACAGUGG
rnacentral:rRNA from 1 species